rfam:Hordeum vulgare subsp. vulgare, WGS project CAJW01000000 data, contig: morex_contig_70911
AUAGUACUCCUUCAGUCCCAGAUUUCUUGUCUUAGAUUUAUUAAGAUAUGAAUGUAUCUAGUCAAGUUUUACUAUUUAGAUAUAUCCAUUUCUACAGAGCUAAGACAAGAAUUUUGGAACGGAGGGAGUAUUAU